GUAUGCUGUUGCCAGAAGAGGUUGUCUGUGAUGCUAUCUACUGAGAUUAAAGACUUUUUGAAGUAAAGAGGAGCAUCUCAUCUGAAACUGAUGUCUAUCAUGGAUAUUUAACUGAAGUUCUGUGAGUAUCCCAACUUAACCAUGAAGAUGAACUGCAAACUGUAAGUCAUUAAUUUCUCAUUACUCUUGGGCACAUUGAUGUAUUUUUGCUUCUUGGUGAGUUAACCCGUUGGCUAAAGGUUGAUCUGAGCAGUAAGGAUGUUUUAUUGGUUCAUUGGUUUCUUAGGUGUUUGGUUUAUGUUGGUUUUAAUGAUUUGUUAAAAUGGUUACGAGAUCCAAGUUAUUGUUGUAAGCUGGAGUAAUUGGUUGGGUUCUGAUGUCUUAAGUCUUCUUUCCAGCUACUUUCCUGAGCUCUGCAUCUUCAACACACGAGUGUUGCUUUACUGAUGAGGGUGUGGUCUGAGUGAGCGGAGGUGCAUACUGGGAUACAGAGCUGUCUGAAGUCUACAGGUCUGUAGGCACGCCCCCUCAGGGGAAACCAAGUGUUUCAGAAACCGUCGUGACGUCAGUUACAUGGACUAGAAUGUUCUUUAAGAUGGAGACGGGAUUCAGAAGGAGAAACGCCAGGGGGAGAUGAGGGGGCUCCUCAUCUCAACAGCUGAAACACAACUGCAGUCUGACACAGAGAACCAUGGAACACAUUCAACAGUCCCCUCCAUGCAUCGUGACUCCUCAUGAAAAGUUUCAUUUCCAAGAAGGUCUUAUUUGGGGCCAUCCCCAUAUGGAUCCUGCUCCUCAAGAGCCAACCCCCCUCCACUGAGUGGUCUUCUGAAGAGAUGACUUCCUUCCUGUCCUCAGGUUGAUUAAAGCUGCACCGUUUGCAUCUGUGAAGGCCCCUCAUUCAGGAAACCACUGGACUACAAAGAAAUGACUUCAGAAACGUUGAAUCAACCUGGGACACAUUUGGAGACGCCAAGCAUAAUCCAUCACCAAUGUGGGACGCCACUGAAAAAUGUUGCACACAAUUAACUUCUCUGGAGACAUUGGUUGUUCUGUUCUGGGUGCCCUGGCAGGAGAGCUGGGGUUGGAUGAUGGAACGUUAUUUGGCAUGAGGUUUUUACCCCUGCAUGAUUGUUUGGCCUUUUAUGGAUCAGUGGUGUGUGUGUUUGGGUUUGACAUGAGAUGGAUUUUUUCAUCGCUAGGGUUCAACUGUGUGUGUGGGUGUGUGUGUCUCCCACUCACACGUAGAACCCCAUACCAGGUGUGUGUGUGUGUGUGUGUGUCCGGCUUGCUUUGAUCGUGAUAAUGUUCAUACGGGGGUCUGUGUGAUUGGCUUGGGAUAUUGGACUGGUCAACUAAAUCAUACCUGAUGGACGGCCACACGUUUACUUAAGAGCCUCCAGUAGACAUGAAGAGCCCUGAGUGACGCUCCGUAGCGAUAUCCAACACACUGGGCAGGAAGGAGAGUAUCCAACAAGCGGCGUGUUCAGAUCAGUGACUUCAAACUAGGACCAAUCAGGAUCAAUGGAGGAUGGACACCAAAAGGAAUUCCACAAGGAGAGUCUGACGUUGGAAAGGGACCUAAUUGGAUAUUCAAGAUGACCUUCAGACCUGUAAUGAGACGGCUCUUCCUACCUGGCUGGAUUGAUGGAGAGCCCUGUGGAUCUUGUCUUGCUCUCAGUUGCACGUCUUCUCAGGCUGAACUCUAAUUGUCUCGGACAGGAAUAGCUGAACAAUUGGUUCCCUUAAAUCAGAACCAAUCCGGGAACUCCAUCUAGUGCGCCCUUCGAGCUGAAGUUGUGCUCUUCAGCUGAGGAGGUAAGGAAACCUUCACUGGGGCUUCAAGAUGUAAAGAGGACAAUGUUUCAAAGUGUUCCAUGGUACUCUGAUGAAGACCGUUGGUGUGUUCCACUGGCUGAGAGGAAGAACCCACACAUCUUCCUCUUGGCCUUUCUCCUCUCAGAAUCCUGGCGCCAUCUUGAAGGAUAUUCCAGCUCAUGUAACUGAUGUCACGACAGAUUCACAAACACUUGGUUUCUCCUGAGGGGCGUUUCUAUAGAACUGAAGACUUCAGACGGCACUGUAUCCCAGCAUGCAUCUCUGCUCACUCAGACCACACCCCCAUGAGUAGGAUGCUACACUCUUGGGAUGGAGAUGUAGUGUUUUAUAAGUAACAAGGGAGCAGACUAAGGGGAUUAGAACGUAAUAGAAUGUCAAGUCUAAAUCUUUAAACCAUGAAGAUGGUUGGAAAAGUCAGGAAUUUGGCUUAUUUUUAAUAUGGGCAGUCCUUUCACUCGGAUGCUCACUUGAAAUGUACAUGCGUUGGCUGGCUGGCAUGAUUUGCUGUUGGUGAUGAGGCGGUCAGGGUGACGUUGCAGGGCUAUGGUCGGCUCUCUGUGAGCUCAACGUUUAGAUUUUCUCUGGUUUGUACCCUGAAUAAUCUAGAUAAUUGUAAAAUGUAGACACGGUUUUGCAUUGAAUGAUUCCAGGAUUUUAGGUUUAAAGUUGUUGUACAUGGUAGUUUGGUUCUUCGUCUGGUUUUGAGUGAUUAUAACUUGUACACACUGGGUGCAUAAUAAUUUAAUGUUACACUGAAUAGUAUUAAUGACCAACAGCAACAAACAGAUCUCCUCAAGGUAAGUCUGUUGGCUGUAUUUUAAUGAAGACCAUCGCUGGACUUCAGGAUCUUCCACCGUUCAGCUCAAGGUGAGGCGCUGGUUACGUUUUUUCUUUGGUUGGUUCCGGCUGGAAUGUUCGGAUUCCAGUCGGACGGUUUGUGCUUCCCGCCGUGGAAGGUUCUGAGUGCGGUCACUUGAUUUAGUCCCAAUGGUUAGCAUAGAAAGUUGUAGUCUUGACAACCAUAAGAACACUAACACGAAUUUCGUACAAUAUGUUAAUUUUCGAUGGUUGCGCCGUACUUUUAACCACGUUGACGGGACUCUCGCUGCGUACAAAACGGCGUUCUACUGGCGGCCCAAUUUUUGGUGAAGGCUGAAAAUCAUUUCAAGGUGGAAGACAAUUUGACAUUUCUUCAAAGGAACCCAGCACCUGAAUAUGAGUUGAGUAAAUUUGAUUUAAUAUUGAUACUGCUUAGUGUUCAUUGUUACUUCACUGUUACUUGCUGAUAUAAACCUCCUGCUGUAGCUCAAAGGCGAGUCUGAGAGGCUGUGGACCGGAGGCUUGUGGUGCCAGGAUGGACCGGAGACUGAGGCUGGAGACCAGGGGCCUGCAGCACCGGACCAGAGGACCAGGAAUCCAUGGCUGAAGGAGCGGAUGGAGGCCCUGCCUGGUGGAGGAGCCAUGCUGAAAGCCCUGCCUGGUGGAGGAGCUGACGGAGGCCCUGCCUGGUGGAGGAUGUCUGUCGUGGGGACUCUGGUUUGGAGGAGAGCUGAUGGAGGAGCUGAUGGAGGAGCUGAGUCGCUGGAGGACGACUAGGAAUCGACCAACAAGGAUUCCUCAACGUGUUUCUGGAGCGGAGGCGAGCUGAUAGGGGAGCCGUGAAUCUGGAGGAUGACGUCACUCUACCAACAAGGAUUACCAGGACUCUGGCUGAGGAGAGCGGAUGGAGGAGCCAUAAAACCAGGAAUCUGGAGGACUGACGGAGAAGCCGUACAUCUGGAAGGCAAAUCCUGAGGACGAUCAGGACUCUACCAUCAAGGAUUCCUCACACACCUGAGCUGAACCCCACCUGAUCCGGACAUCCUGCUGGUCCCGUCUCCUCAGUUCAUCUGAGCCUCUUCCUCCAGAAGACAUGCUGAGCUCAGCGGUCUGAGGCUGAUGUAUCAAUGACCUCAAGUGGGAGUAAUCUUCUUGACCCCACAUGUAGCCGUGUGCUUCCACACGCCUUUCCCUCACGUCUGUCACUAACCUAAUUACUUCACUACUCUCUGCUCCUUCUCCUUCUUCUUCCUUCUCCGUGGUUCGAACCUUUACUCUGAAGGAGUGUCUCCUUGAACCUUUACACUGAAGGAGCGUCUUCCUGUCCUCAGAGGGUUCAGCGUUAGGGUUGAGAGUCAGGGUUUAGAGUCAGGGACAGAGCUGGUCAGGGAGGGCUGGUUUUACAUAAACCUUUUCACUUGCUUUCUGAAUGGUGGUGACAUUUUGAAAAGAUUAAUUUGGGAAAAUGUUUUCCUCUUUUUUUGCUUUACAAAAAUAUGUAUUAAACUUCUGUGUUUGUAACCAGACCAGGUAUCCAUGGCUGAAGGAGCUGAUGGUGGAGCCGUGCUGAAAGAGCGGAUGGAGGAGCCGUGCUGACGGCCCUGCCUGGUGGAGGAGCCGUGCUGACGGCCCUGCCUGGUGGAGGAUGUCUGUCGUGGGACCAGGACUCUGUCUGAGGAGAGCAGAUGGAGGAGCUGAGAUGCUGGAGGACAACUAGGAAUCGACCAACAAGGAUUCUUCAACGUGUUUGUGGAGCGGAGGCCAGCUGGUAGGGGAGCCGUGAAUCUGGAGGAUGACCAUCACUCUACCAACAAGGAUUACUUUAGGGCCAGACUCGCGCUGUUUGUUCCAGACCAGGACUCUGGCUGAGGAGAGCUGAUGGAGGAGCCAAGACUCUGUAGGACAACAUCACUCCACCAACCAGGAUCCUCAGACGAAUUACGUUUGUAACCAGACCAGGAAUCUGGAGGACUGAUGGAGAAGCCGUACAUCUGGAAGGCAAAUCCUGAGGACCAGCAGGACUCUACCAUCAAGGAUUCCUCAUAAGUUUGCAUUAUCUGGACAAAGUGGCCUAGACACACCUGAGCUGAACCUCACCUGAUCCUGUUUGGUCGGGGGUUGACACACCUGAGCUAAACCCACCCUGAUCCUGACAUCCUGCUGGUCCAGUCUCCUCAGUUCUCCUGAGCCUCGUCCUCCAGAAGACCUGCGUAGCUCAGCAGUCUGAGGCUGAUGGAUCAAUGACCUCCAGUGGGAGGGAUCUUCUUGACCCCACUUGUAACCGUGUGCUUCCACACGCCUUUCCCUCACAUCUGUCACUAACCUCACUACUUCACUACUCUCUACUGCUUCCUCUUUUCUUCCUUCUCUGUGGUUUAAACCUUUUAUACUGAAGGCGCGUCUUCCUGCCCUCAGAGGGUUCAGCGUUAGGGUUGAGAGUCAGGGUUUAGAGUCAGGGACAGAGCUGGUCAGGGAGGACUGCUUUUACACAAACCUCUUGACUUGCUUUCGGAAUGGUGGUGACAUUUUGAAAAGAUUCAUUUGGUAAAAUCUUUUCCUCUGCUUCCCUUUACAAAAUUGUAUCAAACUUCUGUCAAGUGUUUUUGUUUAAAUAUUAAAAUCCCACAUUGACUUCUACAUGUUUGGUGCG